rnacentral:rRNA from 1 species
ACACGACUACAUUAGAUACCCCCGUAGUCCUAGCCGUAAACGAUACUCGCUAGGUGUCGGCCACGGUGCGACCGUUGUCGGUGCCGUAGGGAAGCCGUGAAGCGAGCCACCGUGGGAAGUACGGCCGCAAGGCUGAAACUUAAAGGAAUUGGCGGGGGAGCACAACAACGGGUGGAGCUUGCGGUUUAAUUGGAUUCAACGCCGGAAAUCUUACCGGGACCGACAGCAACAUGAAGGCCAAGCUGAAGACUUUGCCGGAUUAGCUG